GGAGAGGUGGCCGAGUGGUUGAUGGCACUGGUCUUGAAAACCAGCGGACUAACGUCUCGAGAGUUCGAAUCUCUCCCUCUCCGCCA
rnacentral:tRNA from 1 species